rnacentral:rRNA from 1 species
GAUGAACGCUAGCUACAGGCUUAACACAUGCAAGUCGAGGGGCAGCAUAUUUUUAGCUUGCUAAGAAUGAUGGCGACCGGCGCACGGGUGAGUAACGCGUAUCCAACCUUCCCAUGGCUCAGGGAUAACCUUGCGAAAGUAAGCCUAAUACCCAAUGACGUCUCUAGAAGACAUCUGAAAGAGAUUAAAGAUUUAUCGGUGAUGGAUGGGGAUGCGUCUGAUUAGCUUGUUGGCGGGGUAACGGCCCACCAAGGCGACGAUCAGUAGGGGUUCUGAGAGGAAGGUCCCCCACAUUGGAACUGAGACACGGUCCAAACUCCUACGGGAGGCAGCAGUGAGGAAUAUUGGUCAAUGGGCGAGAGCCUGAACCAGCCAAGUAGCGUGCAGGAUGACGGCCCUAUGGGUUGUAAACUGCUUUUAUAAGGGAAUAAAGUGAGUCUCGUGAGACUUUUUGCAUGUACCUUAUGAAUAAGGACCGGCUAAUUCCGUGCCAGCAG